UACGAAGGGGGCUAGCGUUGCUCGGAAUCACUGGGCGUAAAGGGUGCGUAGGCGGGUCUUUAAGUCAGGGGUGAAAUCCUGGAGCUCAACUCCAGAACUGCCUUUGAUACUGAGGAUCUUGAGUAUGGGAGAGGUGAGUGGAACUGCGAGUGUAGAGGUGAAAUUCGUAGAUAUUCGCAAGAACACCAGUGGCGAAGGCGGACUCACUGGCCCAUUACUGACGCUGAGGCACGAAAGCGUGGGGAGCAAACAGG
rnacentral:rRNA from 1 species